GAUGAACGCUGGCGGCGUGCCUAACACAUGCAAGUCGAACGGAGAUUAAACGCUGAUGAGGCUUCGGCGGAUUCUUGUUUAAUCUUAGUGGCGGACGGGUGAGUAACGCGUGGGCAACCUGCCUCAUACUGGGGGAUAACAGUUGGAAACGACUGUUAAUACCGCAUAAGCGCACAGCAUCGCAUGAUGCAGUGUGAAAAACUCCGGUGGUAUGAGAUGGGCCCGCGUCAGAUUAGCUAGUUGGUGAGGUAAAGGCCCACCAAGGCGACGAUCUGUAGCCGGACUGAGAGGUCGGACGGCCACAUUGGGACUGAGACACGGCCCAAACUCCUACGGGAGGCAGCAGUGGGGGAUAUUGCACAAUGGAGGAAACUCUGAUGCAGCGACGCCGCGUGAGUGAAGAAGUAUUUCGGUAUGUAAAGCUCUAUCAGCAGGGAAGAAAGGCUCGCAAGAGAGAUGACGUA
rnacentral:rRNA from 1 species